rnacentral:lncRNA from 1 species
CCUGUAUAUUUGUUGCCUCGGGUUAAUGAAAUUUUUUUUUUUUCAACGCCACCUGUAUAUUUGUUGCCUCGGGUUAAUGAAACUUUUUUUUUUCAACGCCACCUGUAUAUUUGUUGCCUCGAGUUAAUGAAACUUUUUUUUUUCAAUGCCACCUGUAUAUUUGUUGCCUCGGGUUAAUGAUAACUUUUUUUUUUUCAACGCCAUAUGUAUAUUUGUUGCCUCGGGUUAAUGAUUUAGUUAAUUUGUUUUUUGUUUUUUUUUUUGUUUGGAUAGAUAUGGAUCGAAGGAAGCUUUUAUUGAUCUUAUUGU